CCUACGGGAGGCAGCAGUGAGGAAUUUUCCGCAAUGGGCGAAAGCCUGACGGAGCAAUACCGCGUGAGGGAUGAAGGAUUUUGGUCUGUAAACCUCUUUUCUCAAGAAAGAAGUUCUGACGGUACUUGAGGAAUAAGCAUCGGCUAACUCCGUGCCAGCAGCCGCGGUAAUACGGGGGAUGCAAGCGUUAUCCGGAAUGAUUGGGCGUAAAGCGCCUGUAGGUUGUUUAUUAAGUCCGUUGUUAAAGCCUAGGACUCAACCCUAGAAAAGCAAUGGAAACUAGUAGACUAGAGUAUGGCAGGGGUAGAGGGAAUUUCUAGUGUAGCGGUGAAAUGCGUAGAUAUUAGAAAGAACACCGGUGGCGAAAGCGCUCUACUGGACCAUUACUGACACUCAGAGGCGAAAGCUAGGGUAGCAAAAGGGAUUAGAUACCCCUGUAGUCCUAGCCGUAAACGAUGGAUACUAGAUGUUGUGCAUUAUGUACAGUAUCGUAGCUAACGCGUUAAGUAUCCCGCCUGGGGAGUACGCUCGCAAGGGUGAAACUCAAAGGAAUUGACGG
rnacentral:rRNA from 1 species